GGUUAAGUUAGAAAGGGCGCACGGUGGAUGCCUUGGCACUAGGAGCCGAAGAAGGACGGGACUAACACCGAUAUGCUUUGGGGAGCUGUACGUAAGCGUUGAUCCAGAGAUUUCCGAAUGGGGGAACCCACUAUCUUUAGUCGGAUAGUAUCCUUACGUGAAUACAUAGCGUGAGGAAGGCAGACCCAGGGAACUGAAACAUCUAAGUACCUGGAGGAAGAGAAAGAAAAAUCGAUUUCCUGAGUAGCGGCGAGCGAAACGGAAAGAGCCCAAACCAAGAAGCUUGCUUCUUGGGGUUGUAGGACACUCUAUACGGAGUUACAAAAGAAAGUUAUAAAUGAAGCGGUCUGGAAAGGCCCGCCAAAGACGGUAACAGCCCGGUAGUUGAAAUGGCUUUCCCUCCAGAGUGGAUCCUGAGUACGGCGGAACACGUGAAAUUCCGUCGGAAUCCGGGAGGACCAUCUCCCAAGGCUAAAUACUCCCUAGUGACCGAUAGUGAACCAGUACCGUGAGGGAAAGGUGAAAAGCAC
rnacentral:rRNA from 1 species